GAUGAACGCUGGCGGCGUGCCUAAUACAUGCAAGUCGAGCGGACAGACGAGGAGCUUGUUGCUCUGACGUUAGCGGCGGACGGGUGAGUAACACGUGGAUAACCUACCUAUAAGACGGGGAAAACCUCGGGAAACGGGCGCUAAUCGCGGAUAAUAUAUUGAACCGUGUGGUUGAAUAGUGAAAGACGGCUUUGCUGUCACUUAUAGAUGGUUACGGGCCGCAUUAGCUAGUUGGUAAGGUAACGGCUUACCAAGGCAACGAGGCGUAGCCGACGGGAGAGAGUGAUCGGCCACACGGGAACGGAGACAGGGUCAAGGCGACUACGAGAGGCAGCAGUAGGGAAUCGGCCGCAACGGUCGGAAGCCUGGCGGAGCAGCGGCGAGUCAGAGAUGACAGUGCUCGGAGCGGAAAACUCGGCUAUGGGUGAUAAACAAAUGUGGAAGGAGCUAUGCACGGCUUGACGGUAACGAAUCAGGAAGCCACGGCUAACUACGUG
rnacentral:rRNA from 1 species